GACGAACCGUCCAAACGUUAUUCGGAAUCACUGGGCUUAAAGGGUGCGUAGGCGGUCCUGCAAGUUGGGUGUGAAAGCCCUCGGCUCAACCGAGGAACUGCGCCCAAAACUGUAGGACUCGAGGGAGACAUAGGUGAGCGGAACUUAGGGUGGAGCGGUGAAAUGCGUUGAGAUCCUAAGGAACACCAGUAGCGAAAGCGGCUCACUGGGUCUCUUCUGACGCUGAUGCACGAAAGCUAGGGGAGCGAAGAGG
rnacentral:rRNA from 1 species